UACGGGGGGGGCAAGCGUUGUUCGGAAUUACUGGGCGUAAAGGGCGCGUAGGCGGUGUGGCAAGUCGGGAGUGAAAUCUCUGGGCUCAACCCAGAGUCUGCUUCCGAAACUGCUGUGCUUGAGUGUGGGAGAGGCGCGUGGAAUUGCAGGUGUAGCGGUGAAAUGCGUAGAUAUCUGCAGGAACACCCGUGGCGAAAGCGGCGCGCUGGACCACUACUGACGCUGAGGAACGAAAGCUAGGGGAGCAAACAGG
rnacentral:rRNA from 1 species